rnacentral:rRNA from 1 species
UGAUCCAGCGACGCCGCGUGAGUGAUGAAGGCCUGCGGGUUGUAAAGCUCUUUCGGUGGGGACGAUAAGCCUCGAGCUAAUACCUCGGGGUCUUGACGUCUCCCAUGCCAACAAGCACCGGCUAACUCUGUGCCAGCAGCCGCGGUAAUACUUAGGGUGCGAGCGUUAAUCGGAAUUACUGGGCGUAAAGCGCGCGUAGGCCGCUUUGCAAGUCUGGUGUGAAAUCCCCAGGCUUAACCUGGGAACUGCAUUCGAGACUGCAUUGCUUGAGUAUGGGAGAGGGAAGUGGAAUUUCCUGUGUAGCGGUGAAAUGCGUAAAUGUCGGAAGGAACAUCAGUGGCGAAAGCGACUUCCUGGACCAAUACUGACGCUCAUGUGCGAAAUACGUGGGGAGCAAACAGGAUUAGAUACCCUGGUAGUCCACGCCAUAAACGAUGAGAACUGGAUGUCGGGAGGGUCUGCCUCUCGCUGUCUUAGCUAAACCGUUAAAUUCUCCGCCUGGG